UUGACCUCGGAUCAGGUAGGAAUACCCGCUGAACUUAAGCAUAUCAAUAAGCGGAGGAAAAGAAACCAACAGGGAUUGCCCUAGUAACGGCGAGUGAAGCGGCAACAGCUCAAAUUUGAAAUCUGGCUCUCGGGCCCGAGUUGUAAUUUGUAGAGGAUACUUUUGAUGCGGUGCCUUCCGAGUUCCCUGGAACGGGACGCCAUAGAGGGUGAGAGCCCCGUCUGGUUGGAUGCCAAAUCUCUGUAAAGUUCCUUCAACGAGUCGAGUAGUUUGGGAAUGCUGCUCUAAAUGGGAGGUAUAUGUCUUCUAAAGCUAAAUACCGGCCAGAGACCGAUAGCGCACAAGUAGAGUGAUCGAAAGAUGAAAAGCACUUUGAAAAGAGAGUUAAAAAGUACGUGAAAUUGUUGAAAGGGAAGCGUUUAUGACCAGACUUGGGCUUGGUUAAUCAUCUGGGGUUCUCCCCAGUGCACUUUUCCAGUCCAGGCCAGCAUCAGUUUUCCCCGGGGGAUAAAGGCGGCGGGAAUGUGGCUCUCUUCGGGGAGUGUUAUAGCCCACCGUGUAAUACC
rnacentral:rRNA from 1 species